ACUGCACACUUGACCAUCUUCUCCAUGCAAAUUUUAAGAUCAAGUAAAAGUAUAAUGUGGAUUAUCACAAUUCUUUAUUAGCAAGAAAACAAAAACAAGUCUUCUUUAACUCUUGUCAUUGUUUAGUUAUCUUUUGACAAUUUAGUGCUCUGAUAUUUACUCAAACCUUCUGGACCUUGUUAUUGAACUAUGCUCAAUGAUAAAAUACUCCCAAGUCCAUCCUGAAAUUCAGAAUCUGCUUUCAUAUAAAAAAAGAAGCUCACAGCCUCCUCCUGCCUUUAAACAGUAAACGAUGAAAAAAGCAGAAGGAUCAAAACUCACAACCACUGCUGUUUAUCUUGUAUUUUGAGAAAAAAGAGCAAUAACACUACUACUGACAGGUCAAUCUGUCAGCUGCUCGGUACUCUUAUAACAUCCACAGUAGCAGACUAGAAGUACUCUUAUAUUAUAUUUAUAACAGCUCAUGUUUGAUAUAUUGAUCCUGCAAGUAUUUGACUAUCUCGAUCCCAUUUGAGGAGUACGGGAAUACCUAAAAAAAAACAAAGAAGGUUCCACCGGGAUUUGAACCCAGGUUGCCAGAUUCAAAGUCUGGAGUGCUAACCACUACACUAUGGAACCGGAUGUUGUAUGUGGUCCCUUGCAGAUGAUAUUUCUGUCUUAUAUUCCAUAAACACAGUGAAAAGCUGGAAAUUUUGUCCAUGUCCUUUUGAACUCUUUUUGUUUGUUUCCAUCAGUUUAGUUUCAGUGAAACUGUUUCCUUUGAGCAUGCAUCCAAUUAGCAUACAUGUAACAUUUGGUAAAAGGUAAAUAUUUGUUUGGAUCAUUUGCUACAACAUUUUAGCACUCCGUAUAAUUAUUAAAAGUAAUUUUUGACUGUGUAUGCUCAGAGAGAGAGAGAGAGAGAGAGUCAUCUAAUAGAAUUUGCAAAAUUAAAUAUUCCAAAGUUUGAUUGCGCUGAUGUAUGUUUGUGAGCAGAGGGAUUAUGUCAUAGUGGGAUGCAGUGCAUAGUAAUCUAAUGGUAUGUUGAAAUAAUCUAAUGAGGUGAACACAUGCACAGAAAAUACUGUGGGCAUGUCAUGUUUAACCUUCUUAGGUAGCUACUUGACAAGCUUCUCCAUGCAAAUUAUAAGAUUUGAGUGAAAAAUAUAAUGUGGCUUAUAACUGUUUGUUAGC
rnacentral:tRNA from 1 species